GGGCGGGCUGCGGACUACCAUGCAGUCGAGCGGAACGACACCAAUAGAAACCUUCGGGUGCGUUAAUGGGCGUCGAGCGGCGGACGGGUGAGUAAUGCCUAGGAAAUUGCCUUGAUGUGGGGGAUAACCAUUGGAAACGAUGGCUAAUACCGCAUAAUGCCUACGGGCCAAAGAGGGGGAUCUUCGGACCUCUCGCGUCAAGAUAUGCCUAGGUGGGAUUAGCUAGUUGGUGAGGUAAUGGCUCACCAAGGCGACGAUCCCUAGCUGGUCUGAGAGGAUGAUCAGCCACACUGGAACUGAGACACGGUCCAGACUCCUACGGGAGGCAGCAGUGGGGAAUAUUGCACAAUGGGCGAAAGCCUGAUGCAGCCAUGCCGCGUGUAUGAAGAAGGCCUUCGGGUUGUAAAGUACUUUCAGUUGUGAGGAAGGGGGUAACGUUAAUAGCGUUAUCUCUUGACGUUAGCAACAGAAGAAGCACCGGCUAACUCCGUGCCAGCAGCCGCGGUAAUACGGAGGGUGCGAGCGUUAAUCGGAAUUACUGGGCGUAAAGCGCAUGCAGGUGGUUCAUUAAGUCAGAUGUGAAAGCCCGGGGCUCAACCUCGGAACUGCAUUUGAAACUGGUGAACUAGAGUGCUGUAGAGGGGGGUAGAAUUUCAGGUGUAGCGGUGAAAUGCGUAGAGAUCUGAAGGAAUACCAGUGGCGAAGGCGGCCCCCUGGACAUACACUGACACUCAGAUGCUGAAGCGUGGGGAGCAAACACGAUUAGAUACCCUGGUAGUCCACCCCGUAAACGAUGUCUACUUGCAGGUUGUGUCCUUCACCCGUGGCUUUCUUAGCUAACACGUUAUUUAAACCGCCUGGCGAGUACUGUCGCAAGAUUAAAACUCAUAUGAAUUG
rnacentral:rRNA from 1 species